rnacentral:rRNA from 1 species
GAUGAACGCUGGCGGCGUGCCUAAUACAUGCAAGUCGAGCGAACGGACGAGAAGCUUGCUUCUCUGAUGUUAGCGGCGGACGGGUGAGUAACACGUGGAUAACCUACCUAUAAGACUGGGAUAACUUCGGGAAACCGGAGCUAAUACCGGAUAAUAUUUUGAACCGCAUGGUUCAAAAGUGAAAGACGGUCUUGCUGUCACUUAUAGAUGGAUCCGCGCUGCAUUAGCUAGUUGGUAAGGUAACGGCUUACCAAGGCAACGAUGCAUAGCCGACCUGAGAGGGUGAUCGGCCACACUGGAACUGAGACACGGUCCAGACUCCUACGGGAGGCAGCAGUAGGGAAUCUUCCGCAAUGGGCGAAAGCCUGACGGAGCAACGCCGCGUGAGUGAUGAAGGUCUUCGGAUCGUAAAACUCUGUUAUUAGGGAAGAACAUAUGUGUAAGUAACUGUGCACAUCUUGACGGUACCUAAUCAGAAAGCCACGGCUAACUACGUGCCAGCAGCCGCGGUAAUACGUAGGUGGCAAGCGUUAUCCGGAAUUAUUGGGCGUAAAGCGCGCGUAGGCGGUUUUUUAAGUCUGAUGUGAAAGCCCACGGCUCAACCGUGGAGGAUCAUUGGAAACUGGAAAACUUGAGUGCAGAAGAGGAAAGUGGAAUUCCAUGUGUAGCGGUGAAAUGCGCAGAGAUAUGGAGGAACACCAGUGGCGAAGGCGACUUUCUGGUCUGUAACUGACGCUGAUGUGCGAAAGCGUGGGGAUCAAACAGGAUUAGAUACCCUGGUAGUCCACGCCGUAAACGAUGAGUGCUAAGUGUUAGGGGGUUUCCGCCCCUUAGUGCUGCAGCUAACGCAUUAAGCACUCCGCCUGGGGAGUACGACCGCAAGGUUGAAACUCAAAGGAAUUGACGGGGACCCGCACAAGCGGUGGAGCAUGUAGUUUAAUUCGAAGCAACGCGAAGAACCUUACCAAAUCUUGACAUCCUUUGACAACUCUAGAGAUAGAGCCUUCCCCUUCGGGGGACAAAGUGACAGGUGGUGCAUGGUUGUCGUCAGCUCGUGUCGUGAGAUGUUGGGUUAAGUCCCGCAACGAGCGCAACCCUUAAGCUUAGUUGCCAUCAUUAAGUUGGGCACUCUAAGUUGACUGCCGGUGACAAACCGGAGGAAGGUGGGGAUGACGUCAAAUCAUCAUGCCCCUUAUGAUUUGGGCUACACACGUGCUACAAUGGACAAUACAAAGGGCAGCGAAACCGCGAGGUCAAGCAAAUCCCAUAAAGUUGUUCUCAGUUCGGAUUGUAGUCUGCAACUCGACUACAUGAAGCUGGAAUCGCUAGUAAUCGUAGAUCAGCAUGCUACGGUGAAUACGUUCCCGGGUCU